GGUAGCAUGGCCGAGCGGUCUAAGGCGCUGGUUUAAGGCACCAGUCAUUUCGAUGGCUUGGGUUCGAAUCCCACUGCUGCCA
rfam:Ciona savignyi cont_30966, whole genome shotgun sequence.